UACGUAGGGGGCAAGCGUUGUCCGGAUUUAUUGGGCGUAAAGAGCGUGUAGGCGGCCACGCAGGUCCGUUGUGAAAACUAGAGGCUCAACCUCUAGACGUCGACGGAAACCGUGUGGCUAGAGUCCGGAAGAGGAGAGUGGAAUUCCUGGUGUAGCGGUGAAAUGCGCAGAUAUCAGGAAGAACACCAAUGGCGAAGGCAGCUCUCUGGGACGGUACUGACGCUGAGACGCGAAAGCGUGGGGAGCGAACAGG
rnacentral:rRNA from 1 species